AGUCUUGAAGAGUCACUUGGAAGUAAAUGUGUAAGUAAAGAAUUAAUAAUAUUUACUUCAGUUAGUCUCCAAGAAUAUAACUGUCAUUUUCUCAUUUAUCUGCCCACUGUGAAAUUAACAAAUCAUAUUGAUAACUAAUCUUUAAAGCAGCAGUUGUCAUUCCUUUAAACAAAAACCCUUAGCAUAAUCAAAGUGUUUACUGAUAUAUAAACUUUGAAUUUUGUAUGUCAUGAAUUGCUCUUUCCAUUGAUAUUUAAAACUAUGGCCUUCAAGUAUAUAUCUCAGUACAUAUAUCCUUUUUUUUUUUUUUUUUUUUUUUAAUUUCAGAUAAUAUAUUAGUUCUUUUCUUUUAUAGGGAUUCAGGAGAGAAUGACGACAGAUGAGGACAUCUGCAGGCUCCUGGAUCCCUGCAGUGAAGUGCAGAGGACUUUAGAAAGAGCCCUCACAGGAGAGAGCAUACCACAUCAGCUCUCCUUGCAAGAGUGCAAAGAACUGCACUUGAAAUUGAACAUGAUUGACGAAUGGGAGGAGCAAUUAGAGGCCCUCAUCGAAGCAGGUAAUUUAGAGUAAAAAUCUUUUUAGCAUAUGCUGGAAUCUUUCAUGUAUAUUUAUUGUUAUUUUCUUCUUUUUAACUCGAUGGUUAGUGCAUUAUUUUCCAAUUGGCUUUAGUUAAUCUUGUAAUGGUAAUAAAAGUUUCAGUAAAAUCAAGCUGCUUCAGAUGCAUUGAACCUUCUUAGAUUUGAACUCAUAGAAUUUUACAUUACAUCAUCCUUCUUCUAAAGAAGUAUUUGUGCUAGAGACAUAGAAUAAGAACUUAGUUCCAAGAAGAAUUAAGCAAACUGUUUCAUUGAUAAAGCUUUAG